UCCCCCUCUCUUAACCAGUUAACCCUAAAGGCCUCCCCAGUCUCACGAUUCAUCAACUCAUCAUCAACACUCAUCAGCCAGCCACCACCAGCUGCAGCAGGCAGCAGCUCCUACCAUCGCGGAACUCCUCUCAUCCGCCGGAGCUCACCGUCGCCGCCGGAAUUGUGACUGACAGAGGGUUCCGACGCCGAACGUCUCUUCCACUCACCCUCUUCUCCUCGCCGUGGAAUCUCUGCUCGGAGCUCUUCUCGUUGCCGUCGCGAACUGCUCCUGCUCGGCUGUCGUCUCCUCGCCGUAACGAGCUCUGUUUCCGGCAUCUCUCUCUUCAAUCUCUCUCUCUCUCUAUCUCUACGAGGUCAGUGUCAGCGCCGUGUUUCUCCGAGCUCACACUGUCACCACCGUUCCUCCCUCGGCGUCUCACCGUUAGGGUUUGAGUUUAGGGUUUGGGUGAUGAUGGCGUUCUUCAGUGGAGCUCAACGAUUUCUUCGCCAGUCUUCUUCAGUUGUGGCCUCCCACUUCACCUCUACUCGUUUCACUUCGACUCUUACUUCC